rnacentral:misc_RNA from 1 species
GCAAACUUGGUCAUUUAGAGGAAGUAAAAGUCGUAACAAGGUCUCCGUAGGUGAACCUGCGGAGGGAUCAUUACUGAACGGUCGUCUGACCAUUCAAACCCUUCAAACCCUGUGGAGGUCAAUCGUGGUUCGGCGCUUCGGCGCCGCUUUCAUGCUCGAGAUUGAGUUUUUGCUGAACAAUAUUAAUUCAUAAAACUUUCAACAAAGGAUCUCUUGGCUCUCGCAUCGAUGAAGAACGCAGC